UACGGGGGGGGCAAGCGUUGUUCGGAAUUACUGGGCGUAAAGGGCUCGUAGGUGGCCAACUAAGUCAUACGUGAAAUCCCUCGGCUUAACCGGGGAACUGCGUCUGAUACUGGAUGGCUUGAGGUUGGGAGAGGGAUGCGGAAUUCCAGGUGUAGCGGUGAAAUGCGUAGAUAUCUGGAGGAACACCGAUGGCGAAGGCAGCCCCCUGGGCUAACACUGACGCUCAUGCACGAAAGCGUGGGGAGCAAACAGG
rnacentral:rRNA from 1 species